rnacentral:rRNA from 1 species
GAUGAACGCUGGCGGCGUGCCUAAUACAUGCCAGUCGAGCGAACGGACGAGAAUCUUGCUUCUCUGAUGUUAGCGGCGGACGGGUGAGUAACACGUGGAUAACCUACCUAUAAGACUGGGAUAACUUCGGGAAACCGUAGCUAAUACCGGAUAAUAUUUUGAACCGCAUGGUUCAAAAGUGAAAGACGGUCUUGCUGUCACUUAUAGAUGGAUCCGCGCUGCAUUAGCUAGUUGGUAAGGUAACGGCUUACCAAGGCAACGAUGCAUAGCCGACCUGAGAGGGUGAUCGGCCACACUGGAACUGAGACACGGUCCAGAAUCCUACGGGAGGCAGCAGUAGGGAAUCUUCCGCAAUGGGCGAAAGCCUGACGGAGCAACGCCGCGUGAGUGAUGAAGGUCUUCGGAUCGUAAAACUCUGUUAUUAGGGAAGAACAUAUGUGUAAGUAACUGUGCACAUCUUGACGGUACCUAAUCAGAAAGCCACGGCGAACUACGU